GACCCCGGAUCGUGGGUGGUUGGGAAAAUGUGUUGUGUUGUGAUCGGGGCAGCCGGGAUUAACGAGGGCUUGGAACGACACAGGUUCCAGAAGGCUUCAGGUGCCCCUGUGAGGCAUGUUCGUAUCCUGGAUUCCGGGGUCACGUUGCCGGGUGGGCCAGCAGUUUAGAAUGUAUUUAUGACACUGAUGUUGGUGUACGCACACUGAUGUUUGUUUUGCCCCUGUAACUAACACUCCGUUCACUUCAUCAAAACGACAACAAAAGACAAACAAAAAUAACAUUCUGCAUGGGUCCCCGUACGGGCUGUGCUCAAAGCAUGGAACAAAUACACUAUGUUAAGAAAUAUCCUAUUGUUGUGUUCCGUUGUGUGCUGUUGACUGUAAGCGUAGAUACAAAACAUUUUCUUGUGAGUUCCACCCCCCUAUCUAAGUCCCGAACAUGUCUCCAAUGUAAUUUGUAUAUUUGUUUUCUGACUUUUGUUGAUGUCGUCUACGUGGGUGGAUUAAAGUAAAAUUCAACUCCCACCUGAAUUAAACACAUCACCACUGCACAUGUGUGUUGAACACGGUAAACAAAAACCGUUGGCAUUCUGAAUCUAUUCCCCACUGCUCAACGUUCCAAAUAAACUGUUUCUCCAACAGGCAGUGACUGGUGAGCGUUUGAUCCGCCCUGCAUGCUAGCAAUCGGUGCUCGACCAUCGCCCUGCGGUGGCUGAUAGCGCCCAGCCAACAUGGGAAAGGUAGAAUUCUGUAGUGGUUACAUUUAGAAAUGCGAAUUAAGAUUAAAUAAAGUGGCCGGUUUCGCUUUCCUUUGAACGGUAUUUCUGAGCCAAUAUCUCUCAAAAAGAUCCACUAAUAUAAACCUUUAAUGCUCAAUCUAAAGUAGUAUUGAAAUGACCCAUUGGUCACGUUCUACUGCUUAUUGCGGCCCAGGGCAGGUUCAUAGUUUGGUGGAGCGGGCGCCUAUUUGGUUGAGCUAUUAUAUGAUCUCUGAUGAAUGAUGGAACAAAAGGACUCCCUGAUCGGACCUGCGGGAACUUUUGACAGUUGUGCUGAUGUGUGAAUAUGGAGGGUUUAUGAAUAUAGCCCGAAACGAAGCUGACCUUUAAUAUCAGCGAUAUCAUCUUUGAAACUGAGAUUGGGUGGGGGUGAUGGAGAAGGGUGGAGUUGCAGAUGGAGAGGAGAUGUGCUGACCUCAGGCCGUUCUGAGUUCUGAGAGGCGCCUUCUCUUUUUAUGUAACCGCGCUAUACUUACAAGAGUAUAAAACAGCAGUGCUCUCGUGGAUCCUCCAUUUUUAUUGGUCGUGUGCAGUAAUGAAUAAAACGGGAAGGGAGAAAAUUGAAAAUGGGCUAUAUCCCCAGGACUUUUUUUUACUGCUAAUGUUGCUCUAUGUUUUAUCUUACUCUAAAACUGCAAAUAAAAUAACAUUUUUUAAA
ensembl:lncRNA